rnacentral:rRNA from 1 species
UACAGAGGUCCCGAGCGUUGUUCGGAUUCACUGGGCGUAAAGGGUGCGUAGGUGGUGAGGUAAGUCGGAUGUGAAAGCUCGGAGCUCAACUCCGAAAUGGCAUUGGAAACUACCUUGCUCGAGGGUUGGAGGGGGGACUGGAAUGCUUGGUGUAGCAGUGAAAUGCGUAGAUAUCAAGCGGAACACCAGUGGCGAAGGCAGCUCGCUGGAACGGUACUGACGCUGAGGCGCGAAAGCGUGGGGAGCGAACAGG